rnacentral:rRNA from 1 species
UAGCUCGCCGAAAGGCGAAUUAAUACCGCAUACGGUGGGCCUCUUUCCUGAGAGACCACCGAAAUCGGGGGACCGCAAGGCCUGACGCUAGGAGAGGAGUUCGCGGCCUAUCAGCUAGUUGGCGAGGUAACGGCUCACCAAGGCUAAGACGGGUAGCUGAUCUGAGAGGAUGAUCAGCCACACUGGAACUGAGACACGGUCCAGGACACCUACGGGUGGCAGCAGUUUCGAAUCAUUCACAAUGGGCGAAAGCCUGAUGGUGCGACGCCGCGUGAGGGAUGAAGGUCUUCGGAUCGUAAACCUCUGUCACCGGGGAAGAAACGCUAUGCGAUAAUAUCGCCUAGCCUGACUUAACCCGGAGAGGAAGCAGUGGCUAACUCUGUG